AGUUGCAGACAACUAGCUUUAGGCAUUGCAUGUAAUUUGAUGUUCUUCAAUGUCCUGUAGCCUAAGACCAGCUGGAACACACCUGUAGUCAACAAAGUUAGGCUGAUUAAUGGGAAACUGCAUGCUGUGGGGAAGUUGGAGGCAUCUCAAAAGCGAGGAUUAAGGAAAGGGCACCCAAUAAAGCUUUGGGGGCUGGAGUUAGUCACAAGAUGGUGUUGACAAGAUUUCAUCAGAUUCUGUAAACUGGAGAGUUUCUAGAAAGGAACCCAAAGACAGUAAAGGUCACAAAUGAUGUACCUUUUAUAUCCAGCAGAGGGCCAGGACAGUCCUGGGGUUCAUAUUUCUUCUCCUCUACUCUGAGGUUUAUACGACCCCCCUAAGAUCACCUUGAUGCGACCAUCUGGCCUAUCCAGGCAGGAUCAACCAGAGGAAUUCAAGGAGAAAGCAAAUUGUUUUGCAAAUAGAGUAAGAUAUGUUUUGCAUUUCCAAAGGCAAUGCAAGAAGGAAGGACAAAGGGAGGUGGGAACAGGCUUACUCCAAGAAGAGGUGAGAAGAGCUAGGGAAGACAGAGAAUCCGAAGAGGGCAAGAGGCAGUCUGUAUCCUGUACACCAGCGCCCCAACUUCUAGCUAUAUUUUUGUUCCCACCAGGCCUGAAGCAUGACUCAGCACUUAAUUACACUCCCAGAGGAAAAUCCACCUCACAAGCAUGACUGGCAAUUUCAGUGGAAGAGUCAGAAGAAGUUUUUACAUCUUACACAGUCCUCAUCAAUUCCUUCCUGGUCUGUCCUUUUAUCCCAGAUCCCAUUCAGAGGCUCUGCCUGCUGGAGAGAGGAGUGGGAGGAGAAGUGUCCUUCUUCAAGGCCAGCUUCACGGGCCCAUAGCCUGUGAGGUUCCAUAGGGCCCCAAGCUGAAAGAGCUCCACUUAAGAUUCAGUGCUGUGCUCAUGCACUCUUAGAAUUAUUACUGAGCUCUGUUCUGUAAGUGAAGUCCAUGGGGCAGCAGCGCACGCGCAGGAGCAUGGAGGCAGCGUAAUAUGCAUGUCAGUUGCUCCUUGCUGCCCAUUCCCAUAGAGCAUUUGCAAUGCCCCAGCAGCAGAGGAUGGAUGCUGGUGGUGAGAGGUGAAGCCGGCUGGGCUUCUGGGUCAGGUGGGGACUUGGAGAACUUUUCUGUCUAGCUAAAGGAUUG